rnacentral:rRNA from 1 species
AUUUCGCAAUGGGGGAAACCCUGACGAAGCGAUACCGCGUGGGCGAUGAAGGUCGCAAGAUUGUAAAGCCCUUUUCUGAAGGAAUAAUUCUGAAGGUACUUCAGGAAUAAGCACCGGCUAACUCCGUGCCAGCAGCCGCGGUAAUACGGAGGGUGCAAGCGUUACCCGGAAUCAUUGGGCGUAAAGCGUCCGCAGGUUGUUUGUUAAGUUGAAUAUCAAAUCUUGAAGCCCAACUUCAAGGCUGUAUUCAAAACUGGCAGACUAGAGUCUUUCAGAGGUACACGGAAUUCUGUGUGUAGGGGUAAAAUCCGUAGAUAUACAGAGGAACACCAAAAGCGAAGGCAGUGUACUGGGAAACGACUGACACUCAUGGACGAAAGCGUAGGGAGCGAACGGGAUUAGAUACCCCGGUAGUCUACGCCUUAAACUAUGGAUACUAGAUGUUAGAGGAUUCGACCCCUCUAGUGUCACAGCUAACGCAUUAAGUAUCCCGCCUGGGAAGUACGGUCGCAAGAUUAAAACUCAAAGAAAUAGACGGGGACCCACACAAGCGGUGGAGCACCUGGCUCAAUUCGAUAGUGAGCGAGGAACCUUACCUAGGUUUGACAUCUCUGGAAUUCUGCGGAAACGUGGAAGUGCCUUCGGGAACCAGAAGACAGGUGCUGCAUGGUUGUCGUCAGCUCGUGUCGUGAGAUGUUGGGUUAAGUCCCGCAACGAGCGCAACCCUUGUUGUCUGUUGCCACCCUAUAGCAAUAUAGGAGCACUCUGACAAGACUGCCCCGGUUAACGGGGAGGAAGGUGGGGACGACGUCAAAUCAUCAUGGCCCUUACGGCCAGGGCUACACACGUGUUACAAUGGGCGCCACAACGGGCUGCAACUGCGCAAGUAGAAGCGAAUCCCUUAAAAGCGCUCUCAGUUCAGAUCGUAGGCUGCAACUCGCCUACGUGAAGUCGGAAUCGCUAGUAAAUGCAGAUCAGCACGCUGCAUUGAAUACGUUCCCGGGUCUUGUACACACCGCCCGUCACACCAUGGAAGCUGGUGACGCCCGAAAUCGGUAUUUUAACCGCAAGGAGAAAGCCGCCUAAGGCAGCGCCGGUGACUGGGGUGAAGUCGUAACAAGGUAGCCGUACCGGAAGGUGCGGCUGGAUCACCUCCUUUCUAAGGAGA